CAACAAUUAAAUACGGAACCUCAUAUAUUUCUGAAGAUAUGGUUUGGAAGUCUCUACCCGGCGCCGUAAAUGCUGGACUAUGAGGGGAGAUGAAUCGUUA
rfam:Oceanobacillus picturae, S1, WGS project CCAX01000000 data, contig: 000002